AUUGAACGCUGGCGGCAUGCCUUACACAUGCAAGUCGAACGGCAGCACGGGUGCUUGCACCUGGUGGCGAGUGGCGAACGGGUGAGUAAUACAUCGGAACAUGUCCUGUAGUGGGGGAUAGCCCGGCGAAAGCCGGAUUAAUACCGCAUACGAUCUACGGAUGAAAGCGGGGGACCUUCGGGCCUCGCGCUAUAGGGUUGGCCGAUGGCUGAUUAGCUAGUUGGUGGGGUAAAGGCCUACCAAGGCGACGAUCAGUAGCUGGUCUGAGAGGACGACCAGCCACACUGGGACUGAGACACGGCCCAGACUCCUACGGGAGGCAGCAGUGGGGAAUUUUGGACAAUGGGCGAAAGCCUGAUCCAGCAAUGCCGCGUGUGUGAAGAAGACCUUCGGGUUGUAAAGCACUUUUGUCCGGAAAGAAAUCCUUGGCUCUAAUACAGUCGGGGGAUGACGGUACCGGAAGAAUAAGCACCGGCUAACUACGUG
rnacentral:rRNA from 1 species